rnacentral:ncRNA from 1 species
UAGGCAGACAGCAAGUGUUUCGACGUUCAGCUAGGUCAUGAGAAAACCAUGACUAAUAUGCUGCCAGCUCUGACUGGAAGCAACGUCAUCUACGGAA